CCCUUGGCCACACAGACAGAUGCAGUUUCCUCUCUCCUUUUCUCCCUCUCUUCUCCGGUUAUUUUCAUUUCCUCCUGCCUUCCACUGGAAGACAUCAGAUCUUCCCAAGAGUGGCCAGCUUCAGAGUCAGAAAGCCAAAUGACCUAUAACAGUGAGACCUCUGGACAAGAUACAUUCCAGUUCUAGAAGUCUUUGACCUUCUUUAAACUAGGGCUUUAUUGAGUUCUCAGUCACACUGAAUGAAUGAACAUCACAAGUUACUUUAAAAAAUCCUACCCAUCGAGGGCAGGGAAAGCACCAGUGGGAGAAACCAGAGGAGAAAUGCUGUAACAAUGGAACAUGCUGAUGGCACCAGACUAAGAAGGUCAUCCAGAGCCUUGUACCGACAGCUUUUCAGGACAUCCAUCACAGAAGACCAAGUACAUAGAGGCAUUAUUUCUGAGCAAGCACUGGAGCAUCCUGCAUAGAAGCCUUCCUCACAUGGUUCUCAGUCCCUGUUCCUAAACCUGUGCCAUCUUGCAGAAUAACCUAAAUUAUUUUUCACAUAAGGAAAUCCAGAUUAGCUCUCUGAAUUUUGUGUCUUUAUAGCAGUCACUUUUGUGAGACCACAAAUGUCCAAUUGAAGUAAAACAGCCUCAACAAGAGAUUUAUAUUCCUUUCAGUCAUUGCCUGUCCAUUCCUCUGCAGCUAUGUAUAUUGAUAGAAUUAUCACAAGCUCAUUGCAUUUGCUUGGAAGCUGGCAGAAACUUGAAAUUCAGCAAGCAGUAGGAGGAAAUAAGUUUGGUUAUCUUACAUUUGCAUAAGUGUUCAAAUCACUGAAUUGCUGAAUUAAAGAUGGGCAGUGUAGUAUCAUGACAGCCACUACAUAAGGAAGGGGUACAUGAGAAAGGCUAUCCAAUAGUGAUGCCCCCUCACCCUCAAGGGAGUUUUCCCCUACAUAUAAUAAAUAGCCAGUUUUCCACUCCAAGUUUACUCCAGGUCACAAAGUUCCACUGCUUCAGAUGUUAAAUCUAUCAUAGUAAUGAUUUUUCAGGUUUUCUUUUAUAUAUUCCUAUUGAAUAUGGUGUAUAUGUACUUGGUGAAGGGACUUCACAUCUCUUAGAAAAUAUAGGUCCAUGUUUUUGCUAAGUAGAAGAUGCCUAAACAGUUAUAGCUUCAAAGAAAGCAAAGACAGGCUCACUAUCAUCAGAAAACCCAGUUUUGAGGCUAAAUAAUUCAGAUAUCACAUCAUGUUUAUUGAGCUACAUUCCUAUUGGAAACCAAGCCGGUUACUAAUGAUUGAGCAAGGUAUGGCACUGUGCCACAGACUUAUACCAACUAGAUUGGUGAUAGUUUCAGCUUUCUAACAUGGCACUGAAUUGUUUCCAUCUAGCCCUAUCCUGGCUGAUAUCAACAAAUACCAGAGACUGUGUUACUUUUAAUAUUUUUAUCAAAUUCAUCAUCUUUUAAGCAUCCCCAAAGCAAAAGUCUGAUCCUGUCAUUGCAAUACCAGACUAAAAAACUGCAUUUAACUCGUACAGCAUAAGAAAUCACCAUCACUCAGAAUAAGCAACAGUCCAUGUUGUAGUAUGUUUAUUUAAUUUUGCUGAAGUUCGUUAAAACUUGUUGGUGUGUUCUUGUUUCCCUCUAUUGAGUGUAUUGGUUUGGCCCCAGUUGUCAGUUAUGUUAACCCCCCCUAUUUUUCCGGAAUGUUCCCUGCCAGUCACUUUAGCCCUGCCCCUACUCCCUAUCCAUCAUUGUAAACCCCACCCCUUCUUCCAGACCCUUCUGUGUCAAUCAUUUGUCCCUCGAGGCCCCACUGGUUAGUGUAUCUUGCUCCCUCCCUCUGUGUAUUCCUAUUGGCCCUGAAUUUGUGAUCUCCUCCCCUUAUUCCUCCCCUCGAGAUUCCCCAUUGGUCCAUGGUUUGUACCCGUCCCUGGAGCUCGGGCUGUACUUAACUCCCUGCAUGGUAGUGUUUGGGGUUGUCUCGGGCCUGACCCCUUCCAGAGUGGGUCCCUUGUUUUCCCCGGCCUGAUAAAACCAUUGCUGGGAACUUCAGUCUAAGAGAGACUCCUCUACUUUCUUGCCUCCACCCCUGAUGCCGUGCACCGCAGAGUUUGGGUCGGCCCAAGACUCUGGAGGUUUCGCUGAGAGAAAAGCCUGAUCCCCAGUUAUUCCCCACUCUUGGCUCUUGCUUGCGUCAGAGUACAAAAGAACGCCAUAGAGCUAGCCGGAGCUCUGGUGCUGUGCUGCGUCAAGUCCACCCUGUCAUACGAUCCCAGUAAAAAUCAUACAGCUCCUCAGGACAUAGCUGUUUCACAGAAGUGCUUAAGAUUUUAAUCUGCCCCUUAACCGAAGACAAAGGGCUCUAUUUUUAAGAGAUACAGUUAUACUUACAUAGAAAUCUGCCUUAAAAACCUAUACUGCACAGAUUUAUAGCGUGGCAUGGACCAGUUUUGGAGUUAAAGGAGACCAUGCAGAUUAUGAAGUCUAAUCUCCUGAAGGGUUUUUUGGAAAAAAUGUUUUUUUAAUAAAGGCAUACUUUGAACAACC